rnacentral:rRNA from 1 species
GAUGAACGCUGGCGGCGUGCCUAAUACAUGCAAGUCGAGCGAAUGGAUUAAGAGCUUGCUCUUAUGAAGUUAGCGGCGGACGGGUGAGUAACACGUGGGUAACCUGCCCAUAAGACUGGGAUAACUCCGGGAAACCGGGGCUAAUACCGGAUAACAUUUUGAACCGCAUGGUUCGAAAUUGAAAUGCGGCUUCGGCUGUCACUUAUGGAUGGACCCGCGUCGCAUUAGCUAGUUGGUGAGGUAACGGCUCACCAAGGCAACGAUGCGUAGCCGACCUGGGGGGGUGAUCGGCCACACUGGGACUGCGACACGGCCCCGAUUCCUACGGGAGGCAGCAGUAGGGAAUCUUCCGCAAUGGACGAAAGUCGGACGGAGCAACGCCGCGUGAGUGAUGAAGGCUUUCGGGUCGUAAAACUCUGUUGUUAGGGAAGAACAAGUGCUAGUUGAAUAAGCUGGCACCUUGACGGUACCUAACCAGAAAGCCACGGCUAACUACGUGCCAGCCGCCGCGGUAA